GGGGCUGCACUGGUUUCGACGUGGGUUCGGAAUCGCUGUGGUGCAUGUCGAGCUGAAUGCGCUCGUAAAACAGAUUCAAACAAACUAACUGCAAACGACGAACGUUUCGCACUCGCUGCUUAAUAACCAGUGAGCCUUACAACAGCAGGCCGAUGGGCUGGGCAAGGGCUUUUUGACGCAAGUCGAUCAGUCCAGGCUGUAAGGUUAUUCACAUCGGCUGGCGCCGGACCGGGUACCUUGGUCUGGAGCGAGACAAUAGGGUACUGGCGUCCUGUGUAGCGUGCGACUGCGCGACACAGGUGGCAAGACUCAAAUCAGACCGCUAAACAUGUAGAUCUGCUCGAAGAAGGCUUGCGGACGGGGGUUCAAAUCCCCCCAGCUCCACCA
rnacentral:tmRNA from 1 species